AGUGAACGCUGGCGGUAGGCCUAACACAUGCAAGUCGAACGGCAGCACAGUAAGAGCUUGCUCUUACGGGUGGCGAGUGGCGGACGGGUGAGGAAUACAUCGGAAUCUAUUUUUUCGGGGGGGAUAACGGAGGGAAACUUACGCUAAUACCGCAUAAUACAUACGGGUGAAAGCAGGGGAUCUUCGGACCUUGCGGGAUUGAAUGAGCCGAUGUCGGAUUAGCUAGUUGGCGGGGUAAGGGCCCACCAAGGCGACGAUCCGUAGCUGGUCUGAGAGGAUGAUCAGCCACACUGGAACUGAGACACGGUCCAGACUCCUACGGGAGGCAGCAGUGGGGAAUAUUGGACAAUGGGCGCAAGCCUGAUCCAGCCAUACCGCGUGGGUGAAGAAGGCCUUCGGGUUGUAAAGCCCUGUUGUUGGGAAAGAAAAGCAGCAGGUGAAUACCCCGCUGUUCUGACGGUACCCAAAGAAUAAGCACCGGCUAACUUCGUG
rnacentral:rRNA from 1 species